GGAAGGGGUGUAUUUAUUAGAUAAAAAACCAAUGCCCUUCGGGGCUCCUUGGUGAAUCAUAAUAACUUAACGAAUCGCAUGGCCUUGCGCCGGCGAUGGUUCAUUCAAAUUUCUGCCCUAUCAACUUUCGAUGGUAGGAUAGUGGCCUACCAUGGUGGCAACGGGUAACGGGGAAUUAGGGUUCGAUUCCGGAGAGGGAGCCUGAGAAGCGGCUACCACAUCCAAGGAAGGCAGCAGGCGCGCAAAUUACCCAAUCCCGACACGGGGAGGUAGUGACAAUAAAUACUGAUACGGGGCUCUUUUGGGUCUCGUAAUUGGAAUGAGUACAAUCUAAAUCCCUUAACGAGGAACAAUUGGAGGGCAAGUCUGGUGCCAGCAGCCGCGGUAAUUCCAGCUCCAAUAGCGUAUAUUAAAGUUGUUGCAGUUAAAAAGCUCGUAGUUGAACCUUGGGUCUGGCUGGCCGGUCCGCCUCACCGCGAGUACUGGUCCGGCUGGACCUUUCCUUCUGGGGAAUCUCAUGGCCUUCACUGGCUGUGGGGGGAACCAGGACUUUUAC
rnacentral:rRNA from 1 species